CCCGCUGCGUUGCACCGAGAUGCCCUUAUUUUCUCUUUAUUAUUGAACCCUAUGGUGUAAAGUUUCACGAUUGUACAUGUAUGUCACACUUGUAUUGGCCUAUGCAUUAGACGUCUCCAUUAGUUUACCUAUAUGAUCAUCUAAAAUAUUGUUUUGCAGUUUUUAUACUGUAGAGUGAAGUUUGAAUAUAAAAAUGAGGAUGGUGCUGGAUAUAGCCUUAUAGGCGCGCCCUGCAGAUUAUUUGCCGCGGUUGAGCUUUUGAGGGCCAGGCCGCAUAUAUAUUAAUAGAGGACUUUGUGUAAUGUUUCAUGGCUAUAUGGUACAGAAGGAUGCAUCUAGCGCAGGUCAAUGUGGUAGUAUCAUACGCUGUUUUGGUACGACGAGCAACUAGGAAUUCGUUUU
rnacentral:lncRNA from 1 species